CGACCCCCUCAACCUCUCCCUCCCUCGCGGGCUCGGAGUGGUACGCGCCCCCCCCCACCCCCCCCCGGGCAGACACGGAACUGGCGCGCGCUGGAAGCUGCGCCCGCAAGCGACCGACGCUCAGCUGCCAGGGGCGGUCUGACUGGGCCUGGCCGGUUCCCCGAGGCUCGGGAGGCUGAAAAGACAUAGAGAACGUAAAGAUCUGUGGAUUCCAAAUCUGCAUCUGGAGUGGAUGGUGAUGGAGGACUUCAGCAGAUAGAUAAUAUCAGAAAUCCUCCUGGGAACAUUGACUCCUUGUGCGGUGCCUUGAAGUUUCUCUGAGAUGAACUGAUGAAUUGGAAUCAUGGUGCAAAAGAAGAAGUUCUGUCCUCGGUUACUUGACUAUCUAGUGAUCGUAGGAGCCAGGCACCCGAGCAGUGAUAGUGUGGCCCAGACUCCCGAAUUGCUACGGCGAUACCCGCUGGAGGACCACGCUGAGUUUCCCCUGCCCCCAGACGUUGUGUUUUUCUGCCAACCAGAGGGCUGUCUGAGUGUGAGGCAGCGACGCAUGAGCCUGCGGGAUGACACUUCUUUCGUCUUCACCCUCACUGACAAGGACACUGGAGUCACGCGUUACGGCAUCUGUGUUAACUUCUACCGCUCCUUCCAGAAGCGAAUGCCUAAGGAGAAGGGGGAAGGUGGGGGAGGGCCCCGUGGGAAGGAAGGACCCCGUGCCACUUGUGCCUCAGAAGAAGUUGGUACUGAGACCUCGGAGAGUGGCUUGUCCCUGCAGCCUCCCAAUGCUGACUCUGCCCCUGAGGUGAAUCAGUCUCCUCGGGGCAAACCCCGGGCCAAGGCAGGAAGCCGUUCCCGCAACAGUACUCUGACAUCCUUGUGUGUGCUCAGCCACUACCCCUUCUUCUCCACCUUCCGAGAAUGUCUGUACACCCUCAAACGUCUGGUGGACUGCUGCAGUGAGCGGUUGCUGGGCAAGAAACUAGGCAUCCCUCGAGGCAUACAAAGGGACACUAUGUGGCGCAUCUUUACUGGAUCAUUGCUAGUGGAGGAGAAGUCAAGUGCCCUUCUGCAUGACCUUCGAGAGAUUGAGGCCUGGAUCUAUCGAUUGCUGCGCUCCCCAGUGCCUGUUUCUGGGCAGAAGCGAGUAGACAUUGAAGUCCUACCCCAGGAGCUCCAACAAGCUCUGACCUUUGCUCUUCCAGACCCUUCUCGAUUCACCCUAGUGGAUUUCCCACUGCACCUUCCCUUGGAACUUCUGGGUGUGGAUGCCUGUCUUCAGGUGCUAACCUGCAUCCUGUUAGAGCACAAGGUGGUGCUACAGUCCCGAGACUACAAUGCCCUUUCCAUGUCUGUGAUGGCGUUUGUGGCGAUGAUCUACCCAUUGGAGUAUAUGUUUCCUGUAAUCCCACUGUUGCCCACCUGCAUGGCAUCGGCAGAACAGCUACUGUUGGCUCCAACUCCGUACAUCAUUGGGGUCCCUGCCAGCUUCUUCCUCUACAAACUGGACUUCAAAAUGCCUGAUGAUGUAUGGCUGGUGGAUCUGGACAGCAAUAGGGUGAUUGCCCCCACCAAUGCAGAAGUGCUACCAAUCCUGCCAGAACCGGAAUCAUUGGAGCUGAAAAAGCAUCUGAAGCAGGCCCUUGCCAGCAUGAGUCUCAACACCCAGCCCAUCCUCAAUCUGGAGAAAUUCCAUGAAGGCCAAGAGAUCCCCCUUCUCUUGGGAAGGCCCUCUAACGACUUGCAGUCCACACCUUCCACUGAAUUCAACCCACUCAUUUAUGGCAAUGAUGUAGAUUCUGUGGAUGUCGCAACCAGAGUGGCCAUGGUCCGCUUCUUCAACUCCCCCAACGUGCUGCAGGGUUUUCAGAUGCACACACGUACCCUGCGCCUCUUCCCUCGGCCUGUGGUAGCUUUUCAAGCUGGCUCCUUUCUAGCCUCACGUCCCCGACAGACUCCUUUUGCUGAGAAGCUGGCCAGGACUCAGGCUGUGGAGUACUUUGGCGAAUGGGUCCUUAACCCCACCAACUAUGCCUUCCAGCGAAUUCACAACAAUAUGUUUGAUCCAGCCCUGAUUGGUGACAAGCCAAAGUGGUAUGCCCAUCAGCUGCAGCCUAUCCAUUAUCGAGUCUAUGAUAGCAAUUCCCAGCUGGCGGAGGCACUGAGUGUGCCACCAGAGCGUGACUCUGACUCGGACCCUACUGAUGACAGUGGCAGUGAUAGCAUGGAUUAUGAUGACUCAAGCUCUUCUUACUCCUCCCUUGGUGACUUUGUCAGUGAAAUGAUGAAAUGUGACAUCAAUGGUGAUACUCCUAAUGUGGAUCCAUUGACGCAUGCAGCCCUGGGGGAUGCCAGUGAGGUGGAGAUUGCUGAGCUGCAGAACCAGAAGGAAUCAGAGGAACCUGGCCCAGACAGCGAGAACCCUCAGGAAAACCCCCCGCUGCGCUCCAGCUCCAGCACCACCGCCAGCAGUAGCCCCAGCACCAUCGUCCAUGGAGCUAAUUCUGAACCUGCUGACUCAAUGGAGGUGGACGAUAAGGCAGCAGUAGGCGUUUCCAAGCCCCUCCCUACCACGCCUCCCAGCAUUGGCAAAUCGACCGCGGACAGGCGUCAGACAGAAAUUGGAGAGGGGUCAGUGCGCCGGCGAACCUAUGACAAUCCAUACUUCGAGCCCCAAUAUGGCUUUCCCCCUGAGGAAGAUGAUGAUGAGCAGGGGGAAAGUUACACUCCCCGAUUCAGCCAACAUGUCAAUGGCAAUCGGGCUCAAAAGCUGCUGCGGCCCAACAGCUUGAAACUGGCAAGCGACUCAGACGCAGAAUCAGACUCUCGAGCGAGCUCUCCCACCUCCACCGUCUCCAACAACAGCACCGAGGGCUUCGGGGGCAUCAUGUCUUUUGCCAGCAGCCUAUAUCGGAACCACAGUACAAGCUUCAGCCUUUCAAACCUCACGCUGCCCACCAAAGGUGCCCGAGAGAAGACCACACCCUUCCCCAGUCUGAAAGUAUUUGGGCUAAAUACUCUAAUGGAGAUUGUUACUGAAGCCGGCCCCGGGAGUGGUGAAGGAAACAGGAGGGCCUUAGUGGACCAGAAGUCAUCUGUUAUUAAACACAGCCCAACAGUGAAAAGAGAGCCUCCAUCACCUCAGGGUCGAUCCAGCAAUUCUAGUGAGAACCAGCAGUUCCUGAAGGAGGUGGUGCACAGUGUGCUGGACGGCCAGGGCGUUGGCUGGCUCAACAUGAAAAAGGUGCGCCGGCUGCUGGAGAGUGAGCAGCUGCGCGUCUUUGUCCUGAGCAAGCUGAACCGCACAGUGCAGUCGGAGGACGACGCCCGGCAAGACGUCAUCCCUGAUGUGGAGGUCAGUCGAAAGGUGUACAAGGGGAUGCUAGACCUGCUCAAGUGCACGGUGCUCAGCCUGGAGCAGUCCUAUGCCCACGCGGGCCUGGGAGGCAUGGCCAGCACCUUUGGGCUUCUGGAGAUUGCCCAGACCCACUACUACAGUAAAGAACCAGACAAGCGGAAGAGAAGUCCAACAGAGAGCGUAAAUACACCAGUUGGCAAGGAUCCUGGCCUGGCUGGGCGGGGGGACCCAAAGGCUAUGGCACAGCUGAGAGUUCCCCAGCUAGGACCUCGGGCACCAAGUGCUGCAGGAAAGGGUCCUAAAGAGCUAGACACCAGAAGUUUAAAGGAAGAGAAUUUUGUAGCGUCUAUUGAAUUGUGGAACAAGCACCAGGAAGUGAAAAAGCAAAAAGCUUUGGAAAAACAGAGGCCUGAAGUAAUCAAACCCGUCUUUGACCUUGGUGAGACAGAAGAGAAAAAGUCCCAGAUCAGCGCGGACAGUGGCGUGAGCCUGACAUCUGGUUCCCAGAGGACUGAUCCAGACUCUGUCAUUGGUGUGAGUCCAGCUGUUAUGAUCCGAAGCUCAAGUCAGGACUCUGAAGUUAGCACCGUGGUGAGUAAUAGUUCUGGAGAGACCCUUGGAGCAGACAGUGACCUGAGCAGCAACGCAGGUGAUGGAGCAGGUGGUGAGGGCAGCGCCCACUUGGCCAGCUCUCGGGGCACUUUGUCUGAUAGUGAAAUUGAGACCAACUCCGCUACCAGCACCAUCUUUGGGAAAGCCCACAGCUUGAAGCCAAGUGUAAAGGAGAAGCUGGUGGGCAGCCCAGUUCGCUCUUCUGAAGAUGUAAGCCAGCGAGUCUAUCUCUACGAGGGACUCUUAGGAAGGGACAAAGGAUCGAUGUGGGACCAGUUAGAGGAUGCGGCUAUGGAGACCUUUUCUAUAAGCAAAGAGCGUUCUACUUUGUGGGACCAAAUGCAGUUCUGGGAAGAUGCAUUCUUAGAUGCUGUGAUGUUGGAGAGAGAAGGGAUGGGUAUGGAUCAGGGUCCCCAGGAAAUGAUCGACAGGUACCUGUCCCUGGGAGAACAUGACCGGAAGCGUCUGGAGGAUGAUGAAGAUCGUUUGCUGGCCACACUUUUGCACAACCUCAUCUCCUACAUGCUGCUGAUGAAGGUAAAUAAGAAUGACAUCCGGAAGAAGGUGAGGCGCCUGAUGGGAAAGUCGCAUAUUGGGCUUGUGUACAGCCAGCAAAUCAAUGAAGUGCUUGAUCAGCUGGCUAACCUGAAUGGACGUGACCUCUCUAUCCGGUCCAGUGGCAGCCGACACAUGAAGAAGCAGACAUUUGUGGUACAUGCGGGGACAGACACAAAUGGAGAUAUCUUCUUCAUGGAGGUGUGUGAUGACUGUGUGGUGUUGCGUAGUAACAUCGGGACGGUGUAUGAGCGCUGGUGGUACGAGAAGCUCAUCAACAUGACCUACUGUCCCAAGACCAAGGUGUUGUGCUUGUGGCGUAGAAAUGGCUCUGAGACUCAGCUCAACAAAUUCUAUACUAAGAAGUGUCGGGAGCUGUACUACUGUGUGAAGGAUAGCAUGGAGCGAGCUGCUGCCCGACAGCAAAGCAUCAAACCCGGCCCUGAACUAGGUGGCGAGUUCCCCGUGCAGGAUAUGAAGACGGGUGAGGGUGGCUUGCUGCAGGUCACCCUAGAAGGGAUCAAUCUCAAGUUCAUGCACAACCAGGUUUUCAUAGAGCUGAAUCACAUUAAAAAGUGCAAUACAGUUCGAGGCGUCUUUGUCCUGGAGGAAUUUGGUAAUUACACUAUUUUGCUCUUAGGUCUGGACUCACAUGGCAGUAACUCAAACCUCGGAGCUCCAGAGGAGGGACUAGAGGCAGAGAGAAGAACCACCUCUGCAGAGAGGUCAGGAGGAUUAGGAGCGACAGGGAAGAAAAGGGAACCCGGGAUGAGCAAAGGGAAGGAGGAAGAAAGAAAAGAGAGACCAGAGCUGCUAGGGAGUGGGUCCCGGAAGAGCAAGUGGCCUUAGACAGGGUCAGAGUUCAGAGGUGCCCCUACAAAGGCUCAGCGAGCUGGUGCCACCUUCCCUUGCUUGGCCAGCUGGUGAUCAGAAAGUUCUGGGGCAGAGCAGACGGGCAGUUUCCAAGCUCUACUGUGUUCAUGUCGCCUGCUGCGAUUCUCCUGGCAGCCCAGUGCUCCAUGUAGCCACCUGGUGCCGCUCUGGUGUCCCCUGAGCCUCUGCGCUGGAGGAGGGCGCAUGGUGGUACCGGCAGACUCACUCUGGAAGGCAGGGAGCCUCGUGGGCCUCAGAGGCAGGCAGGGCAGUUGUAGCUGGAGGCUGGGAGCCAGCCUCCCUGCAGCCAGGCGCUGAGAAGUGGUGUAGUGGGUUCUCACCCUGGGGCUUUGAGUUCCUGCUGUGUUUGUGCUUCAUUCUUUUGUGCCCCCCAUCGCUGCUAUGAAAACCUUCGUUCUCCAGCAGGUAAAGUGACCUCGGCUCGGCUCGUGCUGCCUCCGCCCAGGCCCCUGCCUGGGCCCUGCCGUGGGUGGGAUGGGCUCCCUUCAACCAGGCCAGCCGCUCCCAUUGCCAGUUGUCUCAUCCCUUUUCUCCCCACCCUCUUCCUCUCAGCCUCCCCCCACCCGCGUGCUGGCUCACUCGUUCUGAGUUUUCUCCCCUGUGUGCUCCCUCCUCUCUUCUGCCAGAGAGCUAUUUGGGGGAAUCUUUCAACUCAGAAGAAGGACCUGGGCUUCUUGCUCUACCUAUGAUGAGUUUAUUCCCUGGUUAACCCUGGGUCCCCCUGAGUUCUACCUCCCAGGGUCGGAAGAAGGUGUGGCCAACUCUCCUGCUACCUUUUCUGGCCCCCAGGGUGAUGCCAUGCCCCCCUGCUCCCACCUCCAGGGGCCAUCAGGAUGGCUGUGCCCGGGUGGCGGGGGGGCCUUACUCCUUCCUCUGGCCAAGCAGAACCCCUGCAUGGCUGGGGCAGGGGUGACUCUUAGUCUUGCAUUCUGGGCUGUGGACAUGUGUGUAUUUUGCCUGAUGCUCCCUGUCACCUCCCUCCCCGGGUGCUGUACUCGCCUGUCUUCCGCUCGGUGUGUCUGCUCCAGAGCCCUCUGACGCUCUCCCUCACACAGGCAGGCCUGGGCCUCUCCUGCCACUCAGGGAAGGAAACUUACAGGUCUGGUGGGUUGAGUAUCAUGCCGCUUCUUCAUCCAGCCUAAGGACCCUCUGUGUAGAGGCUGGGAGUGCAGGGAACCAUGCUAACAUGAACAGUCUCGGGCUGGUCACAGGGAUGAGUUCUCGGGCAUCUCAGCACGGCGAGAGGCACAGGCUAGAGACAACUCUCAGCCAAAACGUGGGAACGCCCCACCGCAGCUCCGCAGGGCCCUGGACAGUGGCAGUGAACAGGCUGGUGAGAGGCCAGCCCGCUCCCCUGCUGAGGCUCUCCAGGAAGUGGGUAGAGUCACAGCCAUGGCACAGGGAGCCACAGCAGGCCUCAGAGGUCUGGCUGAGGAGUCUGGGGCAGCGGCCUCUCAUCCAGCAGCAGCUGGACAGAAGCUGGCAUGGCCUGAGCCACCACAGCCACUGGGACGUGCCACGGUGGGGAAGGGGACCCUGGUGCCGGGCGCUGCCGCCUGGGAGAGCCUGGCACUACCGCUCUUAGUUUUGAACUUUCUGUUUUGUCUCUUGCCCGUCCGGUUUUAGUUCCUGAAAUUAAAGAAGUGGUGAGCCACAAGUACAAGACACCAAUGGCCCAUGAGAUCUGCUACUCUGUGUUGUGUCUCUUCUCGUAUGUGGCCGCAGUCCGUAGCAGUGAGGAAGAUCUCAGGACCCCACCCCGGCCCGUCUCGAGCU